rnacentral:rRNA from 1 species
GACGAACGCUGGCGGCGUGCUUAGCACAUGCAAGUCGAACGGAAAGGCCCUGCUUUUGUGGGGUGCUCGAGUGGCGAACGGGUGAGUAACACGUGAGUAACCUGCCCUUGACUUUGGGAUAACUUCAGGAAACUGGGGCUAAUACCGGAUAGGAGCUCCUGCUGCAUGGUGGGGGUUGGAAAGUUUCGGCGGUUGGGGAUGGACUCGCGGCUUAUCAGCUUGUUGGUGGGGUAGUGGCUUACCAAGGCUUUGACGGGUGGCCGGCCUGAGAGGGUGACCGGCCACAUUGGGACUGAGAUACGGCCCAGACUCCUACGGGAGGCAGCAGUGGGGAAUAUUGCACAAUGGGCGGAAGCCUGAUGCAGCAACGCCGCGUGCGGGAUGACGGCCUUCGGGUUGUAAACCGCUUUCGCCUGUGACGAAGCGUGAGUGACGGUAAUGGGUAAAGAAGCACCGGCUAACUACGUG